CUCUUGAUCCCGGUGAUGGCGGCCGUCUACCUGGAGCUGGUACGGAUGGGGCCGGAGGAGAUCAUGGGCUUGUGGCGUUCCCUGCGACUUGAUCUCAUCCAGAUCCUCUGCUCCUUCUUCGUGAUCAUCUUCGCCGCCACCGUGUACCUGACGUCUCGGCCGCAGCCGGUGUACCUGGUGGACUACGCUUGCUUCAAGCCGCCCACCACCUGCCGCGUGCCCUUCUCCACGUUCAUGGAGCACACGCGGCUCAUCAGCUCGGACGAGAAGAGCGUCAGGUUCCAGAUGCGCAUCCUCGAGCGGUCGGGCCUCGGCGAGGAG
rnacentral:lncRNA from 1 species